GAUGAACGCUGGCGGCGUGCCUCAAACAUGCAAGUCGAGCGGGGCUAUGUAAUAUCGCAAGGUAGAACAUAGCCUAGCGGCGAACGGGUGAGUAACACGUGGGUAACCUGCCUGGAAGACAGGGAUAACGAUUCGAAAGGGUCGCUAAUACCUGAUAAUAUCCUUUCAUCGCAUGGUGAUAGGAAGAAAGGGGAAACCCGCUUUCAGAUGGGCCCGCGUCCCAUCAGCUAGUUGGUAAGGUAAAGGCUUACCAAGGCGACGACGGGUAGCCGGUCUGAGAGGAUGUACGGCCACACUGGGACUGAGAUACGGCCCAGACUCCUACGGGAGGCAGCAGUUGGGAAUCUUAGGCAAUGGACGAAAGUCUGACCUAGCGACGCCGCGUGAGGGAAAAGGCCUUCGGGUUGUAAACCUCUGUCAUGGGGGAAGAAGUAAGUGACGGUACCCCAAGAGGAAGCCCCUAGCUAACUACGUGCCAAGCAGCCGCGGUAAAAGUCUCUAU
rnacentral:rRNA from 1 species